rnacentral:lncRNA from 1 species
UGCAUUAACUGCUCUGCUUCGUGUUCAUCAAUACAUCUUAACAAUACCAUGUCGUAGUUUCUCUUGUACAAAAUGUCCCCAUCUAAUAAGAACCUACUAGCCAAUCUUCUUAGAGUCUUCUUGUCUUUGUUGGAAGCACCCUGUGGAUACUCACGGCUUAGCAAGAACUGUUUGGUGUCGUAAUACCAGGGUUUAUUGUCAACCACAUUUUCACCAGUCUGAUCGAUCACAUCCCCAAUAGCGAACACAUGCGAAGGUCUUUCAAGGCGUUGCACUUUGAUUAUUGG